rnacentral:rRNA from 1 species
CGAGUUUGAUCCUGGCUCAGAUUGAACGCUGGCGGCAUGCCUUACACAUGCAAGUCGAACGGCAGCACGGGAGCAAUCCUGGUGGCGAGUGGCGAACGGGUGAGUAAUAUAUCGGAACGUGCCCGGUCGUGGGGGAUAACGUAGCGAAAGCUACGCUAAUACCGCAUACGAUCUACGGAUGAAAGCGGGGGAUCGCAAGACCUCGCGCGAUUGGAGCGGCCGAUAUCAGAUUAGGUAGUUGGUGAGGUAAAGGCUCACCAAGCCGACGAUCUGUAGCUGGUCUGAGAGGACGACCAGCCACACUGGGACUGAGACACGGCCCAGACUCCUACGGGAGGCGGCAGUGGGGAAUUUUGGACAAUGGGCGAAAGCCUGAUCCAGCAAUGCCGCGUGCAGGAAGAAGGCCUUCGGGUUGUAAACUGCUUUUGUACGGAACGAAAAGGCUCUUUCUAAUAAAGAGGGCCCAUGACGGUACCGUAAGAAUAAGCACCGGCUAACUACGUG